UACGAAGGGGGCUAGCGUUGUUUCGGAAUCACUGGGCGUAAAGGGCGCGUAGGCGGCUUUAUAAGUCGGGGGUGAAAGCCUGUGGCUCAACCACAGAAUUGCCUUCGAUACUGUAGAGCUUGAGACCGGAAGAGGUAAGUGGAACUGCGAGUGUAGAGGUGAAAUUCGUAGAUAUUCGCAAGAACACCAGUGGCGAAGGCGGCUUACUGGUCCGGUUCUGACGCUGAGGCGCGAAAGCGUGGGGAGCAAACAGG
rnacentral:rRNA from 1 species